UUUCAACAAUAACACAUCCAAGUGACCAAAUAUCCAUAGCACCAACCCUUUCGGACGGAUUACCAAGAAUUAAUUCUGGCGCCAUAUACGUAGGUGUUCCUGUCAAGGAGUAACCGCGAUUUUGGUCUAGAUGCUGCAAAAAUUCCGAGUCUUUUUCAAACUCUUCCUCUUCUUGUUGUGUUAACUGUUCAAAAAUUUUAGUUGAAGCAGAACCCGACAUCUUGGCAGAACCAAAAUCUGUAAAUUUCAUGAUCCCGUUGUGAUCAAAAAGGAUAUUCUCAGGCUUUACAUCUUGAUGUGAAACACCACAGGAGUGUAUGUAAGCCAAUCCUUCUAAUAAUUGUAGGACAUAAACUUGAAUUACCAAUUCGUCCUCAAUUCUACCGUAACGUAGAAAUUCGAAAAGCGAAGAGCCUUGACAAAGUUCCAUAAAUAUAUUAACUUUUUCACGAUGCACUUCGAUACCAUAAUACGAUACGACAUUAGGAUGAUCAAAGAGUUCAAGUACUAACAUUUCACCUUUAAUCCUCUUGAUCAUCGGUCUAGAUAUACGAGGUUUAUGCAAUGCCACUUCUUUAACAGCCAUUAAAUCUCCUGUAUCCAAGUUAACAGCACGAUAAACCGUACCGAAAGAACCGCUACCUAUAAGUCCACCCUGUUGCCAUCGAAUCGUGAUAUUAGAUUUCGAAGAGGCUAGCUCUUUCAAUAGCCUGUUCUCCUUUGUCGUAUCAUCCAAAACACGUCCAAUGAGCUGGGACUUAUAAAGUCGGUCCCUUCUAUUACUUUCUAGUUCAAUUAUCCGAUGCAUAACCUCCUCCUUGACAAAGGAAGCCAACUCAUUAUCCGAUAAACGACUUCGGUCGGAAUUAUUUCGAACAAGGCGAGCUGGUAUAUCUC